rnacentral:rRNA from 1 species
UACGGGGGGGGCAAGCGUUGUUCGGAAUUACUGGGCGUAAAGGGCUCGUAGGCGGCCAACUAAGUCAUACGUGAAAUCCCUCGGCUUAACCGGGGAACUGCGUCUGAUACUGGAUGGCUUGAGAUUGGGAGAGGGAUGCGGAAUUCCAGGUGUAGCGGUGAAAUGCGCAGAUAUCAGGAGGAACACCGGUGGCGAAGGCGGGUCUCUGGGCAGUAACUGACGCUGAGGAGCGAAAGCGUGGGGAGCGAACAGG